GAUGAACGCUGGCGGGAGGCCUAACACAUGCAAGCCGAGCGGUAUUGUUUCUUCGGAAAUGAGAGAGCGGCGUACGGGUGCGUAACACGUGUGCAACCUGCCUUUAUCUGGGGGAUAGCCUUUCGAAAGGAAGAUUAAUACUCCAUAAUAUAUUGAACGGCAUCGUUUAAUAUUGAAAGCUCCGGCGGAUAGAGAUGGGCACGCGCAAGAUUAGCUAGUUGGUGAGGUAACGGCUCACCAAGGCGAUGAUCUUUAGGGGGCCUGAGAGGGUGAUCCCCCACACUGGUACUGAGACACGGACCAGACUCCUACGGGAGGCAGCAGUGAGGAAUAUUGGUCAAUGGGUGCAAGCCUGAACCAGCCAUCCCGCGUGAAGGACGACUGCCCUAUGGGUUGUAAACUUCUUUUGUAUAGGGAUAAACCUACCCUCGAGAGGGUAGCUGAAGGUACUAUACGAAUAAGCACCGGCUAACUCCGUG
rnacentral:rRNA from 1 species